UAGGGAAUCUUCCGCAAUGGACGAAAGUCUGACGGAGCAACGCCGCGUGAGUGAUGAAGGUUUUCGGAUCGUAAAACUCUGUUGUUAGGGAAGAACAAGUACAAGAGUAACUGCUUGUACCUUGACGGUACCUAACCAGAAAGCCACGGCUAACUACGUGCCAGCAGCCGCGGUAGUACGUAGGUGGCAAGCGUUGUCCGGAAUUAUUGGGCGUAAAGCGCGCGCAGGCGGUCCUUUAAGUCUGAUGUGAAAGCCCACGGCCCAACCGUGGAGGGUCAUUGGAAACUGGGGGACUUGAGUGCAGAAGAGAAGAGUGGAAUUCCACGUGUAGCGGUGAAAUGCGUAGAGAUGUGGAGGAACACCAGUGGCGAAGGCGACUCUUUGGUCUGUAACUGACGCUGAGGCGCGAAAGCGUGGGGAGCAAACAG
rnacentral:rRNA from 1 species